rnacentral:lncRNA from 1 species
GUUGGAUGUUGCUCUGAAAAAGGCCGCUAAUACGACAUCGUUCGGGUACGUCAAGAAUCGUAUGAAGGUUGUGAUUGAUCAAUAAAGGAUUCGUCACUCUUAGAUAGUAGGAGAUUAUGAUCUGCGUUUCAUUCAAUUAAGUUGAUGAUGAAAUCCUUGGCCAAGGUGUACUCAUAAGUCGAAAAGGAGUUUUCGAUUUAUAUUGACUUAAUAGUGGAGUGAAAGAUAUGAUUGAUGAUCGAGAUUGACACGAUUCCAUAUCUCGUAAUUGAUCAGAUCAUAUUGACGAAGGGAUUAUAGUUUCACGGUAAACGAACGAAUUUGAUUUUGUCAUACCACGUGACAUUUCCCGUCACAUGUAUUGCCCUGACACAUUUCUAGAUGUCAAUCAGGGACGGCGAGUGUGAAUUGAUGAUAAAUUAAAAUGGUGUUUUAAUUUAUCAAUUUUGAUUAGGUCAAAAUAAUAUUUUACGUCGUUAGGCAUCGUGGUCGGGAACCUAAUGGGUCGCACACAAAAGAGAAUUGGAAGAUUGCAAAUUGCCAAUUGGUUAAUUUAACAAUCGUUGGAUAAAUUAAUUAAUUGGAUUUGUUAUUUAUAUUCCCGAAUUAAUUAAUUGGAUUAAUUAAUUCACGGACCGGGUUUAAUUAAUUGGAUUAAUUAAAUAUCGGACCGGACCGAACCGGGCCGGGUCCGUUUGAGUUUAUAUAAAUACAUAGCUAGGGUUUGAGGUCCAUAAGGUUUUCAUUAUUCUUGUUGGCACAAGAGAAAACCCUAGCAGUUGCAGUCUAUUCUCUGUGUGGAUUUCAUUGGAGGCUAGACAAUUGGACAGCUGUGGGAGGCAGAUUCAAGCUUCUGGAAAGGAAUAACGCGAAGGAGUUUGCAAAUUAAAAGAAAAGGUAUAUUUCUUAUCACAGUUUUUAUCUAAAUAUAAAGCUAAAUCCUGAAUGAGAAUUGAAAUUUGUUAAAUUCCGCUGUGCAUGUUUAAGUAAAUUCCCAACAGUUGUUACAAGAAAAGGCCCAAAACCGACUCAACAAAUGACCGAA